rnacentral:rRNA from 1 species
AUACGAAGGGUGCAAGCGUUAAUCGGAAUUACUGGGCGUAAAGCGUGCGCAGGCGGUUUUUUAAGACAGAGGUGAAAUCCCCCGGCUCAACCUGGGAACUGCCUUUGUGACUGCAAGGCUAGAGUACGGCAGAGGGGGAUGGAAUUCCGCGUGUAGCAGUGAAAUGCGUAGAUAUGCGGAGGAACACCGAUGGCGAAGGCAAUCCCCUGGGCAUGUACUGACGCUCAUGCACGAAAGCGUGGGGAGCAAACAGGAUGAUACCCUGGUAGUCCACGCCCUAAACGAUGUCAACUGGUUGUUGGGUCUUCAUUGACUCAGUAACGAAGCUAACGCGUGAAGUUGACCGCCUGGGGAGUACGGCCGCAAGGUUGAAACUUAAAGGAAUUGGCGGGG